UUACGGCCAUAUCACGUUGAACCACCGGUUCUCGUACGACCACCGAAGUUAAGUAACGUCAAGCCUGGCAAGUACCUAGAUGGGUGACCACUUUGGAAGACCAGGUGUUGUG